rnacentral:lncRNA from 1 species
UUGAAUAUUAGUCUUGAGUCCAAUCUACCUAAAAGGUUUAGGGCUGAAUUGAGUCAAGCAGACUAUGACCCAAAUAAGCUAAAGAGAAAUGAACAAUUAGUUGCUGAUCAAGAUGCUUAUAUGAUAACACCUUGUAAUUUUUCUAUAUGUGACACUACUACCUGCAUAUUGGAUACCGAAAGUUCAGUUCACAUAUGUAAUUUAUUGCAAGGACAUCAAGUUAGUAAAAAAUUUGAAAACGACGAGAGAUUCCUGAAUGUGAA